GACUCCCAUUGACUCCACGAGGCUUUGGAUCAGGCCCGAACUGGGAAACCUAAAGUCUCCAAUGAUCUUGAAUCUGCCCAGUUAUUAGGAAUUUGUACCCAACAGCCACUUGACAAACUAACUUUCUGAUGAAAAUUUGAAAUAGUGCUUCCUGUGUAGAUGGCCGUUAGCGUCCACAGAGUAAAGAGAUGGCCUGGGUGAUUGGCAACACCUCCCGUAAGGACAGUAGUUUUAACUUCUCUUAGGGAAGGCUUAAUGAUCAGAAAAAUCUGAGAGGUACACACUAAAAAGCCACACCUUAAUCACCUUCAUAGAAGGAACAAGAGAUGGAUUAAAAAGAGAAAACAAAUAAACAUGAUAUAGGAGAGAAAGCAAUGCAAGAAAUGAAAAUGAGGACCUUGAGAUAGAAAGAUGAAGAAACCCCAUAUCUUGUUUUCUGUGGUUUUGCUGAGGUAGUCCUUUGAAGACUGAAAAACCAGCAGAUUUAUUUCACCACAAGAAACAAGAGACUCGAAGCACCUGAGCAAGUAAGAAGGAAAAGAUUUUUAUUGAGAUAUUUAAAAUUUUAUGGGCCUGUGUCCCUGUUCUGGCUGAUAGGCAGCUCAUACUGCAAAAGAAUGUGCACUUCCUGGAAUUCUGACCACCAGGAAAAAUAGUGCAUGUGUGGCUGUAACUUCUGCAGCUGUGAUUGUCAGUGGAAAAAAGUAUGAGUCAUGUCUUGCUGACCUCCCUCUUCAGCCCUUGUAUGAGAAGAAUCUACACAGUGGUACAUAGAACAUAGUUAUGCAUUUACAAAUAUGUCUCCAUAUGUACUAUAGCAAAAGCACUAAUUAUAUGAGAAUGUCUCUUGCCUGUAAAGCAGUAUGUAUAGCAUAUACAUGGAAGUGGGGCUCUACUUUCUGAGGGCCCAAUCCUGAAAACACGUACGGGCAUGAGUAGCUUUGAAUAGUUAAUUGGAAUCACAUGAGUAGGUGUUUGCCAGUCUGGCCCGAAGCCUUAAUAUACCUUUGACUCCAAUGUUCAUUUGUGGCCUUUACUUAAUUAUUACAAUAUCCUACAAUGAAAGUGAAGUUUAAUAGGGUGGCAGGAUUCACGUUAGCUGAUGUUGAAACCCUUCAAGGAGACAGGAGGAUAAUUACUGCUAAUGCAGUGUGGGAGUUAUGGUUCAUCAAACUUCACCCUUAACAUAUGGGAGGUGAUGGUAGCCCUUUGGGAAGAGGAGGCUAUGGGUCUGGGACACAGUCAAAGGAAACCAAACUUAGGGGCACCCAACCUAGGGAGAAGGUUUAGGCUGGGGAAGGUACCUAGAUAGAAGGGUCAGGCUAGAGCUUGUAUAAUGUCAUUUUUCAAUUAACCUUUUGUUAAUAACAUUAAAAUCAAGGAGUUGGUAACUUUUGACUAUUUAUGAUGAAUGAGUAGUUUGUGAGAGCUGGGUGAGGAUUCCAUCCAGUUACUGGGUUAUACUUGUCACAAUUGAAGAAAAGAGACAUUUUUUUCCUGUGGGACUUAAGCACCUCAGAUAUUGCUGCACUUAUCAUAAAACACCUGCAGAGUACGGAAGUAGUAUUGUCCCAAUUUUAUAGAUAAAGAAUUGAGGCACAGAGGUCAAGUGACUUGUCCAAUCUCACAAAGGAAGUUUGGGGUGGAGGUGGGAACUAAACUCUGUUCUUCUGAUUCCUGUUCAAGUGUUAUAACCAGAGGACCAGGCUUUCUUGUCUAAUGCUGAACAAGGUCCUUUUCUGUCAUGAUUCUCUGUCCAUGGUGGUUUUCUGGAUUGUAUGGCACACUUCUAAAGAUUAUAACAUAAAGGUGUGCAUUUUACCAUGAAUGAUGUUGAUGUUUCUUAGAAUGGCCCUGUGAAUAAAUAUGGUGGAAACCACCACAUGAAAUGUAACAAAUCUUAUUGCUUACUGGAAUGUAUCCUUUCCCAAAUUUCUUCAGUGUGACUUUUCU